rnacentral:rRNA from 2 species
GGAUGCUAUCAUACCAGCACUAAAGCACCGGAUCCUAUCAGAACUCCGAAGUUAAGUGUGCUUGGGCGAGAGUAGUACUAGGAUGGGUGACCUCCUGGGAAGUCCUCGUGUUGCAUUCC